UGACACCAUAGAGCCAUAUUUAAAUACGCAUGCGUACUUGCGAAAACCGGUCACUUGUUGGUUCUGGAAAGGGUAUUUUUGUUAGGUCGAUAGGACUGAAUUCGGGUGUUUUGAAUUUGUUCUUUCUCUAACCGUUUUUUUUAUCUGCAUACAUUUCGAGUGUCUUUUAUGAAUAAUCAAAAGCAGCAAAAGCCAACGCUAACCGGCCAGCGUUUCAAAACGAGGAAAAGAGAUGAAAAGGAGAGAUUUGACCCUACUCAGUUUCAAGAAAGUAUCGUACAAGGCUUGAAUCAAACUGGAUCUGAUUUGGAAGCUGUUGCAAAAUUCCUUGAUGCCUCUGGCGCCAAGCUUGACUACCGCCGGUAUGCAGAGACACUCUUUGACAUCCUGGUGGCUGGCGGAAUGCUUGCCCCAGGAGGGAGUAUAUCUGAUGACCUGACCCGCACAGAGUUCUGCCUCUUCACUGCACAAGAGGACCUUGAGACAAUGCAAGCAUAUGCUCAGGUUUUUAACAAGCUGAUCCGGCGUUACAAGUACCUGGAGAAAGGUUUUGAGGAGGAGAUCAAGAAGUUGCUGCUGUUUUUAAAAGGGUUCACCGAAUCAGAACGGAACAAGCUGGCCAUGCUCACUGGCAUUCUGUUGGCCAAUGGAAACAUAUCAGCUGCCGUCAUUGGAAGUCUCUUCAAUGAGAACGUGGUCAAAGAGGGAGUAUCUGCAGCCUUUGCUGUCAAACUGUUCAAGUCCUGGAUCUACGAAAGGGACAUCAAUGCUGUUGCUGUCGCUCUCUCCGCAAAGUCAGCAUGGACAACAGGCUGAUGGAACUCUUUCCUGCCAACAAGCGGAGCUGUGAGCAUUUUUCAAAGUACUUCACUGACGCAGGACUGAAAGAGCUGUCAGACUUUGCCAGGAACCAGGAGGCCAUCGGGUCCCGUAAGGAGCUGCAGAAAGAGCUCCAAGAGAUGAUGGCCCGUGGGGACAACUUCAAAGAUAUAAUUGCCUACGUCAGGGAGGAGAUGAAGAAGACCAACAUCUCUGAACAACUGAUGAUCGGCAUCGUGUGGUCUAGUGUCAUGAGCUGUGUGGAAUGGAACAAGAAGGAAGAGCUGGUCUGUGAACAAUCUAUCAAACACUUGAAGCAAUACAGUCCUCUCCUGAAGGCAUUCACCUCCCAGGGAGCCUCUGAGAUCAUCCUGCUGGUGAAAAUCCAGGAGUACUGCUAUGACAACAUCCACUUCAUGAAGGCCUUCCAGAAGAUUGUGGUGCUCCUCUACAAAGCGGAUGUUUUGAGUGAAGAGGCCAUUCUUAAAUGGUACGCAGAGGCCCACGUUGCUAAAGGAAAGAGUGUUUUCCUCGAGCAGAUGAAGAAAUUCGUUGAGUGGCUGAAGAAUGCAGAGGAAGAGUCUGAGUCCGAGGACGAGGAAGAGAACUGAGAACUCAACCCUCCACAUGUGCAUUUUAAACAGCACAGUCUCCCAGUCCUGUUUGCUUAUUUUACCUUCUGUUUUCUUUCACCCCUCUCCAACAUCAACAUUUACGUUUUAACUUGAGGGCUGUGGCGUGAACGGUACACUCCUUAUUACAUUUUGUUUUAAACUUACCCUUAAUGGUUCACACGUAUUGUGAAUUAAAACCUCAAUCAUAAGAUUAACAAAUGAAGUGUUGAUUUGUUUGGAAAGAAGCAGAAAUGACCCCCUUUUAUUAGUAUUACUAUUAUGCCUUCUGUGUUUUGGAAAUGGAACAUUCCACUUGAUUAAGAUACUCUAUUGAUGUUGCUGCAUCCAGUCUGAUAUCCCUGAUACUGCUGUAACUGUUAAUAUUGCAGCAGUGCGCCUUCUUGCUAUGUGACUUAAAGGCACCCUAAAAUGACAAGUCAUUGCCUUCUCGCCAAAGGUUUUACCCGGUAGCCCUAUCCUCAUGUUAGAUCCUUUCCUGACCUUUGCCUUUUGGACAAACCUGUAAUGAACAGUUGAAUUGGUGAUCGGAUGAACGUUGUGCAGUGACUCAUCUUGGUAGAACCACCUCUUGACCUGACUGACAUCCUCUCUGGAAGAUGCAAUGCCAGCUAAGUAAUAUUGGUUAAUUUCUUUAAUCUGAUUAAACCAAUUAUUUUUUAAAGAAAUAAAGAUGACUAAAAUUCUUA